GAGAGUAUAGCUCAGUGGUAGAGCACAUGCUUAGCAGGCACUGGGUCCUGGGUUCAAUCCCUAGUACCUCCA
rnacentral:tRNA from 1 species